rnacentral:rRNA from 1 species
AUUGAACGCUGGCGGCAGGCUUAACACAUGCAAGUCGAGCGGGGAAGGGUAGCUUGCUACCUAACCUAGCGGCGGACGGGUGAGUAAUGCUUAGGAAUCUGCCUAUUAGUGGGGGACAACAUUCCGAAAGGAAUGCUAAUACCGCAUACGCCCUACGAGGGAAAGCAGGGGAUCUUCGGACCUUGCGCUAAUAGAUGAGCCUAAGUCAGAUUAGCUAGUUGGUGGGGUAAAGGCCUACCAAGGCGACGAUCUGUAGCGGGUCUGAGAGGAUGAUCCGCCACACUGGGACUGAGACACGGCCCAGACUCCUACGGGAGGCAGCAGUGGGGAAUAUUGGACAAUGGGCGCAAGCCUGAUCCAGCCAUGCCGCGUGUGUGAAGAAGGCCUUUUGGUUGUAAAGCACUUUAAGCGAGGAGGAGGCUACUUGGAUUAAUACUCUAGGAUAGUGGACGUUACUCGCAGAAUAAGCACCGGCUAACUCUGUGCCAGCCGCCGCCGUAAUAC